UACAGAGGGGGCAAGCGUUGUUCGGAAUUACUGGGCGUAAAGGGCGCGUAGGCGGCCCGCUAAGUCGAACGUGAAAUCCCCAGGCUCAACCUGGGAACUGCGUCUGAUACUGGCAGGCUUGAAUCCGGGAGAGGGAUGUGGAAUUCCAGGUGUAGCGGUGAAAUGCGUAGAUAUCUGGAGGAACACCGGUGGCGAAGGCGGCAUCCUGGACCGGUAUUGACGCUGAGGCGCGAAAGCUAGGGGAGCAAACGGG
rnacentral:rRNA from 1 species